rnacentral:rRNA from 1 species
AUUGAACGCCGGCGGCAGGCCUAACACAUGCAAGUCGAGCGGAUGAAGGGAGCUUGCUCCUGGAUUCAGCGGCGGACGGGUGAGUAAUGCCUAGGAAUCUGCCUGGUAGUGGGGGAUAACGUCCGGAAACGGGCGCUAAUACCGCAUACGUCCUGAGGGAGAAAGUGGGGGAUCUUCGGACCUCACGCUAUCAGAUGAGCCUAGGUCGGAUUAGCUAGUUGGUGGGGUAAAGGCCUACCAAGGCGACGAUCCGUAACUGGUCUGAGAGGAUGAUCAGUCACACUGGAACUGAGACACGGUCCAGACUACUACGGGAGGCAGCAGUGGGGAAUAUUGGACAAUGGGCGAAAGCCUGAUCCAGCCAUGCCGCGUGUGUGAAGAAGGUCUUCGGAUUGUAAAGCACUUUGAGUUGGGAGGAAGAGCAGUAAGUUAAUACCUUGCUGUUUUGACGUUACCAACAGAAUAAGCACCGGCUAACUUCGUG